GCGCGCGCGCGCCCGCGCCGUCUUCCUGCCUCCGAAACGCACGCGGCAGUGCGGGAGGAGCACCAGCAGCAGCCCUGGAGCUCCGCGGCUGAGGAGCCCCGUAAUGAAGUCUUUCUGGAAGUCACCCCACCCUGGCCCUGGCCCUGGCCCAGCCGAGCUGCUGUCUUGGCAGGCAGAGGGACCUGGGGGCGGCAGCUUGGUCUCAGCAUGUAAGCUGAGCUGUUCUCCAUGGUGCCAGCUCUCGACGCCCCUUGGAGAUGCCAGUGUGCCCCCAUGGAAGCAACUUUCCUUUGCAGCCAGCAAGGCCUUGAGAAGCAUGUUCCCAGAUAAAGUCUAAUCCUUGGAGACUCGGACCAACCUCACAUUGGAAACUCUUGCAAAAAUGAAAAGCCAUUUCAUCAGCAAGCACUUAAGGAAAAUCUGUCUCUCCUGUCAAAAGACUGAAGACUUGGUUCCAGAUCUCUGAAGUUGCUGAUUUGAAACACAAUGGACUUUCACACUGUCUCCAGAACCGCUGUGUGCUGCUAACUGGGCUACAACUCACUGCACUAUCAUAGAGAGCUGAAUUAU